UCGCAGGCUGCAACCCGCCUGCGUGAAGUUGGAAUUGCUAGUAAUCGCGGAUCAGCAUGCCGCGGUGAAUACGUUCCCGGGCCUUGUACACACCGCCCGUCACACCAUGAGAGUCGGGAACACCCGAAGUCCGUAGUCUAACCGCAAGGAGGGCGCGGCCGAAGGUGGGUUCGAUAAUUGGGGUGAAGUCGUAACAAGGUAUC
rnacentral:rRNA from 1 species